rnacentral:rRNA from 1 species
GACGAACCGUGCAAACGUUAUUCGGAAUCACUGGGCAUAAAGGGCGCGUAGGCGGCGGGGUAAGUCGGGUGUGAAAUCUCAGAGCUCAACUCUGAAACUGCACUCGAUACUGCUCUGCUUGAGGACUGGAGAGGAGACUGGAAUUCACGGUGUAGCAGUGAAAUGCGUAGAUAUCUGGAGGAACACCGGUGGCGAAGGCGGCAUUCUGGACCGAUAUUGACGCUGAGGAGCGAAAGCCAGGGGAGCAAACGGG